rnacentral:rRNA from 1 species
AGAGUUUGAUCCUGGCUCAGGAUGAACGCUAGCUACAGGCUUAACACAUGCAAGUCGAGGGGAAACGACAUCGAAAGCUUGCUUUUGAUGGGCGUCGACCGGCGCACGGGUGAGUAACGCGUAUCCAACCUGCCCACCACUUGGGGAUAACCUUGCGAAAGUAAGACUAAUACCCAAUGACGUCUCUAGAAGACAUCUGAAGGAGAUUAAAGAUUUAUCGGUGAUGGAUGGGGAUGCGUCUGAUUAGCUUGUUGGCGGGGUAACGGCCCACAAGGCGACGAUCAGGUAGGGGUUCUGAGAGGAAGGUCCCCCANAUUGGAACUGAGACACGGUCCAAACUCCUACGGGAGGCA